rnacentral:sRNA from 1 species
UAUCAACAUGGUGCAGAUAUGUUGGCAGCUAUUUCUCAAGUGUUGAAUGAAUGCACCAAGCCUGAUCAAGCUACUCCAGCAGCCUUGGUAUUACAGGGUCUUCAUGCACUCUGUCAAGCUGAGGUUGUUUGCAUUCGCUCCACUUGGAAUGCUCUCUCUCCAAAGCUGAGUUGUGACACAAGACCUCUCAUUCUGAAGACACUGAGUGAACUAUUUUCUCUAGUUCCUUCCUUAACGGUCAAUACAACUGAAUAUGAGGUAUGCAUUUGGAGCUCAGCACAUUGCCUGCUUCUCCAUGGGAAAGAUGUGUGUUAUAAUAACUUUUGGAAUAAAUAUUCCUAAUCUGUUGUUGUUGUUGUUGUUGUUCUGAGACCAUGUUGAUAUGUUUAUGGACUCUUAGGAGUAGGAUAGCUCCUCAUCAAUCUUAUGUCUAAAACGUAUUUACAUAAAGGAUCCCAACUUUUAAUUAUGAGAGUAUUGUCAAGAUUUUAAAGUCAAUAUUGUAAAACUAGUGUUUCCAAAAUAAUAGAAUUCAUAAAGCCAACCAUUAAAAAUCAUUUUGUUAAUGUUUUAAGUUCUAAAAAGUAAGCCACAAAGACAUUAAUAAAGGCAGGACAGACUCUCCAAACUUUGUGAAUUACUCAGUGUUUGUCAUUGUAAUGAGUUGAAAUACUUGGUGGAAGAUUCUUUUUU